UGGUUCAAAUUCAAAACCAAUUUGAAGUUAUGUGUCCCCAAAGUUUGGCAGAACGCGAAAAUUGAACUUAGGAGUUUUGCAGUUUGAGCUGAUUUUCAGGGUUUUUGCUAACUUUGGCCUAUGAUUUGUAGUGCUUCGGUCGAGUUUUGAGCAUAGGUCAUAUAAGAGAAAUUGUAGGGGAUUAGUAACACUAAAACUUUUAUAAAGGGUUUUUGUCAGGUUCUAUUUAAAUUUUGGAAGAAAUUUAGUUGCCAAUGUGCAGAAUUUGGGCUGCUUUCAGACAUAAAGACAGAUUUCUAGUUUGGGCUGGGUUUGACCAUUUUGGCCAUCUUUGACCUCAUUUUUGAAAAGCUUUUGUGCAGAUUUUGGCCUAACUCCAAUAAUAAAAGUUGUCAAGGACUUGUAGCACUAAAACUUUUAUACAAUAUUUGACUUGAGCUUACAUUAGAAAUUUUG
rnacentral:lncRNA from 1 species